rnacentral:rRNA from 1 species
CUAGCCGUAAACGAUGAGCACUGGGUUGAAGGGUCCUCCAUAGCCCUUCAGCCGUAGCGAAAGUGUUAAGUGCUCCGCCUGGGGANCGAAGAACCUUAUCCUAGUCUUGACAUGCACGGAUUAACUCUCUGAAAAGAGAGCCAGGCCUUCGGGUACAACGUGCACAGGUGC